GGCAAUAUGGUGUAGAGGUUAGCACUUGAGAUUCUGAUCUUACACGGAGUUCUCAAAACCCAGGUUCGAGUCCUGGUAUCGCCU